CGUCAGCGGGGCUGCACGGACGCCAGGUUACCUGGCUGCACUCCCAGCAACCAGUGACUCGGCUGGAUUUGAAGUACCCAUAAAAAAGCAGGUUCCAACAUGGGUCAGUGAAAUACACACCCAUGCUACGAGGUUAGCACGCGCGGGGGCUUGCAAACGUUGCCAGGGAUCCCCGGGGCUGGCAAGAGCUCUUGCAUCUUCACACAAACACCCCCCGCCAGGGCCUUCCUGCCCACGGGAUGCUCCACGUCGUGCAAGCGGGAGAGCACCAGCCCCAGGCUGGACGGCUCUCUGCUCACCGCGGUGGUUGAACGUGCUGUGCAGCUCAAGAGCGUGGAGAAACCCAUCUCGGACACUCUCCUGGGACAGGGCGCGCGCCUCAGAUCAUAGCACUAGAGCUCGAAAUUGGAGCGCGCUUUCUCGCCAGAAAUCUUUUGCAAACCCCACGGCUUCCCUUAGCAGGGGAAGGGAAACUAGUGCUGCACAGAGGGCGUAACAGAGGAUUUAAAAGGCCAACUCAUGAUGGGAGCACACGGGCUGUGCCACCCCCUCCUCUCCCUCUGCGGACACAGGCGGCUUGUGCCCUCCUCUAGCGGAGGCCUGCGUGCAGCGGGAGAGGGCUACCCGGCACAGAGCACCGCGUUGCCGAAACACGCACCAUCCUGCUAUGAGCAGCACACAGGAAUGCUUUGAAGUGGCUCAAACCAGAGGAGAAAGCACGAGCAAGAGGGAUGGAGAGAGAGAGAGAGAGAGAGAAGUUAUCAUCUGCGUUCCCCAAAGGCGGUGGGAAGCCGAGGAUGCUCCUGCAGCACGCAGAGAUCAAGACCCCCGGGAAAAACCAUGCCGCCUGUCCCACCUCCCUGCUUUCGGAAGGAAACGGUUACCGUCGCGGCCGUCCUGCAAACGCUACGAGAGCUGCUCACGGAAGCCUCGGCACCCGCCUAGCCAACCCACCCAGGAACCGCUUUUGGAACCGCGCAGCCAUGCACCGAUAGCUGGGAUUUGCAGGGAAGUGGGGGAAUUAAAUGGAGUUAUUCACUGCUCCCCUUCCCACCACCCCAACGCCCACGCACUUGGCCGGCGAGGUGAAGCACGAGCUGCGCCGCCUGCCCGAGCUCCAGCACUACACAACCUACAGCCGCGCUCUGCGGGACGCGCAGGCAGCUGCGAGGCCCCGUCCUGCAGCUUCUGCCCGGCAAAAGAGGCAUUUUUGGAGGGCAAAAGAAGGGGGAGACACUUUGGCAGACAGAGAAAGGGCAGCCACAACACACAGCCACACAAACUGAGGAGCCAACCUUCAGAAGAGAAAUGCAUCUCCAUGCCAAGAGCUCGGCUAUUUUCCUCCCUCUUCCCGGCUCGGAGCGCUGCGCUAACAGGCUCAGCAUUCAUCCCCCUCGUGCCGCGCGGCAAAUGGGAGCGGAGAGGGGGAGAGCGAGACUCAAAUGAAAUCCAGACCUAGCAAGCAGCAGCUUUUUUUUUUCCUUUCCCCACUCCCCCCGGGCUUCUGCUGGAAACACGUUCUGUCUAGAGGGCUCAGGAGGAUGAGAGAGGGGAAAAAAAAGUAAAAAGGAAAUGCUGCAAAAAAAUAUUAAAUAAAUAAAAGAAUUCACUGAAAUCAAA